GGAUUAACAAAUGAACGAACCUGUUGUCCUCUCUUACCCUUCCCCGUUCAUUAUUUUUGCAAACUAGAACAUGCUCUGACUAUUCAUGUCCUCGUGUAACCUCUGCAGAGUUUUUAGGCCAACUUUCCACUGGUGGCCUAAAGACUGGGGACAAGACAGGAAGUGAGAGGCAGACAGAGAGACAGUGAAGGGAAGGGUUACUGCUCGAUAAGUGAUCCAGUGACCUUUGAAAGCCAACCUUGAUGUUCACUUUGCAUGAUUCAUCUGGCCGCACCACAAUGGCAUUGGACGAAGAGCAACAAAACAGAAAGAAAGAGAGAGGGAGAGAGAAACAGCACAGAUUGUACAGACUGUAUUCCAGAAACUAGGACAGUCACUGUCUAGAAAUGUGGACUCAUGUUCCCGAUUCUCGGGAGCCCGCUUAUUUACAGUACAAGCGUAAUCAGUUCAGUACUGCCCACCGGCCGCUUUCACUGUCCUUCUGCUCUCGCUGUUAGCAACCUCUUGUGUUGUUUGACAUCUGCUUUUAUGAACACUGAAGCGCAAGUGAGUUAAGGCUUUGCACCACUGGAAGUCAUGGACACUCGUCUAUUCGAAUAUUGCCAAACGGUCAAACAUUCACCUCCCCAAAGGCACCAGAUAAGCAUAAAUCUGUGGUUAAAAAGUAACCAUAACACAUGCGAUUCGAGAAUGUAAUUUCUGUAAAAAUCACGUGAUAAUGUUGGAAGAGCUGGCGCUGAACUGAAAUGCUGUGGAAUUAAUUGAAUUGUUGAAAUGUUCAACUAUAGCAGGUCAGACUUGAUGUUAGAACGGUCUGAAUUGGUGGACAAAUGUGGAAGGGGAAUGUAAAUGUGUAAAACAUCUGCAUUUAUGUGGUUAUUUUGUAGUCCAAAAUGUGGCAUACUAAAAAAAAUUAAUUUUGGGAAUGUGACAAACAGUUCCAUAGAAGAAGUUUGACGUUAGAAUGGUUUGAAUUGGUCAAGAUAUCUGGAAGGAGGUAAAUAUGUAGAGUAUGUCUUAAUUUGUUAAUUUUGGUGUGAAAAA